GGUCAGUGAUGUGAUGGCAUGUAUUAGCUGAAUGCAAAGUUGAUGUGAGUUUUAAAAUUACACUGAGACCUU
rnacentral:snoRNA from 1 species